rnacentral:rRNA from 1 species
UACGUAGGUGGCAAGCGUUGUCCGGAUUUACUGGGCGUAAAGAGCGCGCAGGCGGUCGUUCAAGUCGCGUGUGAAAGCCCCGGCUCAACUGGGAGGGUCACGCGAUACUGAUCGACUCGAAGGCAGGAGAGGGUAGUGGAAUUCCCGGUGUAGUGGUGAAAUGCGUAGAUAUCGGGAGGAACACCGGUGGCGAAGGCGGCGACCUGGGUAGAUACGUGACGCUGAGGUGCGAAAGCGUGGGAGCAAACAGG